UAUUGGCUGCCCUCAAUCUCCUUACACCACAGAAGGCUAACCUUCUUUUACUGUCUCCUGACAACGAGGGGCGCUGUGAGCUAAAGGAGAAGUGGUUUGGAACCCAGUACAGUGUGGAAGAAAUUGACAAGGAAUGGAGCAAGCGCUGGUCUGCAGACUUUGAGCUGAACCCAGACUUACACCUCCCCACAGAAAACAUGUUUAUCGAUGGAGCUCAGCAGACACGCUUAUACUGGACAACAAUGUUACAGACUGGUCUGAUGCCCUCACAGCCACCCCAUCCACUGAACAAUGAAGAAGCCGGAAAACCGUGACAAGUUGCCAAAAACUGGACAAAGCCAGUCAGUUUCCUGUUUAAGUUUAAGGAGUUUCCAUCCUAUUUAUUUCUCUGCUUCUCCUAACUCUUGUACUAGGAGGGUCUGACAGCUCCCACAGG